rfam:Lactobacillus amylophilus DSM 20533 = JCM 1125 strain DSM 20533 NODE_59, whole genome shotgun sequence.
GCGGAAGUAGUUCAGUGGUAGAACAUCAGCUUGCCAUGCUGGGGGUCGCGGGUUCGAAUCCCGUCUUCCGCU